ACCGGCUACUAAAACAGGCCCUAAAUAAAAGCUCCCCCUCGCGGGUAAGCUCGCUCUCUGAGUUCAGCGCUGCUGUAGAGGUUAGCAAAAUGGGCCUGGCCUGCAGACGUUCUGAAAAUGGUGUUGUAGAACUAACGGAAGAUGGCACGUAGAUGGUCGUUCCACUAAUGCAGGAAAGUUUAUUACAUCUGAGACCAGUGUGACUCUACAUUUGGAAGCUAAAGUCCUGUGACUCCGGUGAGCAUUUUUUUUUUUUUUUUGUUGCAUACGGUUUGCUUCCAGCAUGUGUAAUGAUGAUUCAGCAGACUAGAGUCUCUGAGAACAAGUGAUGUUAUUUUAAACUGCACUGAACACACAGCUGUUAUGUGCUUAUCUUUUAAAGAGUCAAAGCAGGUCCUAACUUCAGUAUGGGUUUUUUUGCCCCCUCUUUUUUCACCAGAUGUCUGUCAGGAUGCUGGUGCUGGAACAUUUUCCCUCAAGAGCUCACCUGGGUGAUGUUCCAGAGCUGGUGAAGAACACUGGUGGUUGAAUGUCUGUGCUGCGGGGACCUUCACAUUCCAGUGAAAUGUAUUGCAUAAUGCUGCUGGUUGUGGUUUUGCUGGUUGAAAAUAAAUGAUUUUAAUGACU